UUUUAUGGAGAGUUUGAUCCUGGCUCAGGAUGAACGCUGGCGGCGUGCCUAAUACAUGCAAGUCGAGCGAACGGACGAGAAGCUUGCUUCUCUGAUGUUAGCGGCGGACGGGUGAGUAACACGUGGAUAACCUACCUAUAAGACUGGGAUAACUUCGGGAAACCGGAGCUAAUACCGGAUAAUAUUUUGAACCGCAUGGUUCAAAAGUAAAAGACGGUCUUGCUGUCACUUAUAGAUGGAUCCGCGCUGCAUUAGCUAGUUGGUAAGGUAACGGCUUACCAAGGCAACGAUGCAUAGCCGACCUGAGAGGGUGAUCGGCCACACUGGAACUGAGACACGGUCCAGACUCCUACGGGAGGCAGCAGUAGGGAAUCUUCCGCAAUGGGCGAAAGCCUGACGGAGCAACGCCGCGUGAGUGAUGAAGGUCUUCGGAUCGUAAAACUCUGUUAUUAGGGAAGAACAUAUGUGUAAGUAACUGUGCACAUCUUGACGGUACCUAAUCAGAAAGCCACGGCUAACUACGUGCCAGCAGCCGCGGUAAUACGUAGGUGGCAAGCGUUAUCCGGAAUUAUUGGGCGUAAAGCGCGCGUAGGCGGUUUUUUAAGUCUGAUGUGAAAGCCCACGGCUCAACCGUGGAGGGUCAUUGGAAACUGGAAAACUUGAGUGCAGAAGAGGAAAGUGGAAUUCCAUGUGUAGCGGUGAAAUGCGCAGAGAUAUGGAGGAACACCAGUGGCGAAGGCGACUUUCUGGUCUGUAACUGACGCUGAUGUGCGAAAGCGUGGGGAUCAAACAGGAUUAGAUACCCUGGUAGUCCACGCCGUAAACGAUGAGUGCUAAGUGUUAGGGGGUUUCCGCCCCUUAGUGCUGCAGCUAACGCAUUAAGCACUCCGCCUGGGGAGUACGACCGCAAGGUUGAAACUCAAAGGAAUUGACGGGGACCCGCACAAGCGGUGGAGCAUGUGGUUUAAUUCGAAGCAACGCGAAGAACCUUACCAAAUCUUGACAUCCUUUGACAACUCUAGAGAUAGAGCCUUCCCCUUCGGGGGACAAAGUGACAGGUGGUGCAUGGUUGUCGUCAGCUCGUGUCGUGAGAUGUUGGGUUAAGUCCCGCAACGAGCGCAACCCUUAAGCUUAGUUGCCAUCAUUAAGUUGGGCACUCUAAGUUGACUGCCGGUGACAAACCGGAGGAAGGUGGGGAUGACGUCAAAUCAUCAUGCCCCUUAUGAUUUGGGCUACACACGUGCUACAAUGGACAAUACAAAGGGCAGCGAAACCGCGAGGUCAAGCAAAUCCCAUAAAGUUGUUCUCAGUUCGGAUUGUAGUCUGCAACUCGACUACAUGAAGCUGGAAUCGCUAGUAAUCGUAGAUCAGCAUGCUACGGUGAAUACGUUCCCGGGUCUUGUACACACCGCCCGUCACACCACGAGAGUUUGUAACACCCGAAGCCGGUGGAGUAA
rnacentral:rRNA from 1 species